rnacentral:rRNA from 1 species
GACGAACGCUGGCGGCGUGCUUAACACAUGCAAGUCGAACGAAGAGCGAUGGAAGCUUGCUUCUAUCAAUCUUAGUGGCGAACGGGUGAGUAACGCGUAAUCAACCUGCCCUUCAGAGGGGGACAACAGUUGGAAACGACUGCUAAUACCGCAUACGAUCUAAUCUCGGCAUCGAGGAUAGAUGAAAGGUGGCCUCUACAUGUAAGCUAUCACUGAAGGAGGGGAUUGCGUCUGAUUAGCUAGUUGGAGGGGUAACGGCCCACCAAGGCGAUGAUCAGUUGCCGGUCUGAGAGGAUGAACGGCCACAUUGGGACUGAGACACGGCCCAGACUCCUACGGGAGGCAGCAGUGGGGAAUCUUCCGCAAUGGACGAAAGUCUGACGGAGCAACGCCGCGUGAGCGAUGACGGCCUUCGGGUUGUAAAGCUCUGUUAAUCGGGACGAAAGGCCUUCUUGCGAAUAGUGAGAAGGAUUGACGGUACCGGAAUAGAAAGCCACGGCUAACUACGUG